rnacentral:rRNA from 1 species
ACAUAGUCACAGAAGAGCACAUGGUGGAUGCCUUGGCGCUGACAGCCGAAGAAGGACGUGGCCACGCAGCGAAAUGCUUGGGGGAGGCGCUGGCAGCCUGCGAUCCCGAGGAAUCCGAAUGGGGCAACCCCAUCUGGAGACAGAUGACCGACCUACAAAGGUAGGCGGGGGGAACCGGGGGAACUGAAACAUCUAACGUACCCCGAGGAAAAGAGAAGAUUCCCGUAGUAGCGGCGAGCGAACCGGGAGGAGCCCAAACCCAACCAGGCGUAUUGAGGCAGGAACCGCUGCCUGUUGGGGGUUGAACGUCGAUCUGGGGUGUAUUCCUGAGCACCCACACGGCGUGUAUGGUGAGGCGAACGGUAUUGGAAGAGCCGUCCGGAGAGGGUGAGAGACCCGUAGCCGAAGCGAUACAUUGAGUGAGAUAUGAACGUGAGUACUGCCGGACACGCGGAAUCCGGUGGGAAGCAGGGGUGACCACAUCCCAAGGCUAAAUACUGACAGCGACCGAUAGUGCACCAGUACCGUGAGGGAACGGUGAAAAGAACCCCGAGAAGGGGAGUGAAAGAGAUCCUGAAACCAUGUGCUUCCGGCCGGUCGGAGCCUCCUAGCGGGGUGACGGCGUGCCUUUUGUAGAAUGAGCCAACGAGUUGUUGUGUGUGGCGAGGUUAAGCCGGAAUACAGGUGGAGCCGGAGCGAAAGCGAGUCCGAAAGGGCGGAGAGUCGCACACAGGAGACCCGAAACCAGGUGAUCUUACCAUGAGCAGGGUGAAGCGCGUGGAAUACAUGCGUGGAGGCCCGAACCCGGGUCUAUUGCAAAAGGCUGGGAUGACUUGUGGUAAGCGGUGAAAUUCCAAGCGAACCUGGAGAUAGCUGGUUCUCCCCGAAAUGUAUUUAGGUACAGCGGUAGUGAGAGCACUGUGGAGGUAGCGCACUGGCUCGGCGAUGGGGCAUCCAGCUUACUGACCCGUUUCAAACGACGAAUGCCGCAGGGUAGACACUGCUAGUGAGACUGUGGGAGCUAAGUUCCAUGGUCGAGAGGGAAACAGCCCAGACCGCCAGCUAAGGUCCCGAAAUGUAUGCUAAGUGGGCAAGGUAGUCGUGGCACCGUGACAACCAGGAGGUUGGCUUAGAAGCAGCCACCCUUGAAAGAGUGCGUAAUCGCUCACUGGUCAAGUGAUUCCGCGCCGACAAUUUAGCGGGGCUCAAGCACAUCACCGAAGUUGUGGCAUUCACACACCUGCUAGGCCUUCGUGGU